AUGACACUUACCUAGAGAGUUUGUUUUUCCGUGGUAUACACAUGCACAGGCUUAUCUCAGGGAAUUCAGAUUUAGCAGAUCUGGGAGAGGUGGGGGAGGUCCAGGCAAG